AUUGAACGCUGGCGGCAUGCUUUACACAUGCAAGUCGAACGGCAGCGCGGGCUUCGGCCUGGCGGCGAGUGGCGAACGGGUGAGUAAUACAUCGGAACGUGCCCAGUAGUGGGGGAUAGCUCGGCGAAAGCCGGAUUAAUACCGCAUACGACCUGAGGGUGAAAGCGGGGGAUCUUCGGACCUCGCGCUAUUUGAGCGGCCGAUGGCAGAUUAGCUAGUUGGUGGGGUAAAGGCCUACCAAGGCGACGAUCUGUAGCUGGUCUGAGAGGACGACCAGCCACACUGGGACUGAGACACGGCCCAGACUCCUACGGGAGGCAGCAGUGGGGAAUUUUGGACAAUGGGCGAAAGCCUGAACCAGCAAUGCCGCGUGUGUGAUGAAGGCCUUCGGGUUGUAAAGCACUUUUGGCGGGAACGAAAAGGACUGUGCCAAUACCACGGUUCGAUGACGGUACCCGCAGAAUAAGCACCGGCUAACUACGUG
rnacentral:rRNA from 1 species